rnacentral:rRNA from 1 species
GACGAACGCUGGCGGCGUGCCUAAUACAUGCAAGUAGGACGCAGUUGCGAACGGGUGAGUAACGCGUAGGUAACUACCUAUUAGAGGGGGAUAACUAUUGGAAACGAUAGCUAAUAUCGCAUACUAGUAGAUGGACCUGCGUUGUAUUAGCUAGUAGGUAGGGUAAGGGCCUACCCAGGCAACGAUACAUAGCCGAACGGGGAGGGUGAUCGGCCAAACUGGGACUGAGACACGGGCCAGACUCCGACGGGAGGCAGCAGUAGGGAAUCUGCGGCAAUGGGGGGAACCCUGACCGAGCAAAUCCGCGUGAGUGAAGAAGGUUUUCGGAUCGUAAAGCUCUGUUGUUAAGAAAGCGGUACUUAACCAGAAAGGGACGGCUAACUACGUGCCAGCAGCCGCGGUAAUAC